CUUCCUUAGUCAGGGGCACUGGCCUCUUUUCCCUUAGAUUGUCAAAUAAAAAAUGACAACAGCCAAUACAAUGAUUGCUGUCCAGUGUGAACGUAUCAAAAUUAUACCUAUUUUUAUAAGAUUGGC